GACGAACGCUGGCGGCGUGCUUAACACAUGCAAGUCACGGGGGUCCCGCAAGGGAUAACCGGCGAACGGGUGCGUAACACGUGAACAACCUGCCCUCGUGUGGGGGAUAGCCAUGCUAACGCGUGGGUAAUACCGCAUACGUUCUCUUUGGGAGUCCCGAGGAGAGGAAAGCUCCGGCGCACGGGGAGGGGUUCGCGGCCUAUCAGCUAGUUGGCGGGGUAAUGGCCCACCAAGGCGACGACGGGUAGCUGGUCNGAGAGGAUGGCCAGCCACAUUGGGACUGAGAGACGGCCCAGACUCCUACGGGAGGCAGCAGUGGGGAAUAUUGCACAAUGGGCGGAAGCCUGAUGCAGCGACGCCGCGUGA
rnacentral:rRNA from 1 species